AUACCUUUCUCGGCCUUUUGGCUAAGAUCAAGUGUAGUAUCUGUUCUUAUCAGUUUAAUAUCUGAUACGUGGGCCAAUGGUCCACACGAUAUUAAAUUAAUUUUUUAUUGGGGAGGGUCCAAUACGGUAGCUUGCUACUGUGGGCCUUCAAGAGUCGCCCAAGCCUUGCACUACAGCUCGGGCCUGGCUCACCCUAG